GGUCCCAUGAGGAGCUCGGGGUUCUUCAUGUGCUGGUGUGAAGAAGAUCCAUGCCAGGGAGAAGAAGCCUCGAGCCACGCUGUCCGGGACCCAGCUUGUGGUCUGGGCCGGGAUAGUGAGCCGUGUAUAGUUCUGCCGUAGCGUGGUUAGAUGGGCAUUCGAUACCCGAGUGUAGAUUGUGUGAUGUUAUGUUGAAGUUGCUUAAUAAAUAGUGUUGCUCCCAAGACAACGUCUGCGACACCGUUACUGUGCAUUUGGAAAUAAAGUUUUGCCGUCCACAGAAUGAUUGAUACUAUUGUAUCGGACGUCACACAAACUCUUUCAGAACGAAGAGGAACAAGACUAAGAAGCAGGACUUCAAACUUCAUAUUUGCAUCAUUAUUUUUUUGGUGGCAUCUGCUCUGAUCGAUAUUAACUGGAGAUGAGAGAGACACACACACUUUGGUUGCAAUAUCAAUACGUUGAACAAGGACACGUUAAUAUACACGAGUAACAUACAGUUUAUAAACAGUUUAUAUGAUGCUUCACAAGCUCAGGUGGCCGAAUGUAAACUGCCAUGAAACCGUAAGAUAUUACACAACAUUUACUCGUGCAAUGUUGACUCUACAGGGCCAGCCAGACAUGCCCAGACAUGUUUGACUGUGCCAGACCUAAGUGUUUAUUUGCAGAUAAAUUAUUCUUUGUACGAAGUUUGCGCAAUUGCAUUUGUUUAGACAAUGCUGCCUACGUUAUGCCAUGUUCAUGGCGUAUUCACACACACACACCUGUGGGAGAAGAUGAGCCAGACAUCACUAAGUGUGAUGUUUAAGGCGAGCACAGCACAAAGUUGGCGGCAUCAAGAAGGCAAGCGAGCUGAACGACUCCUCAACCAUCAAGUAUCAGAACGACAGCCUACAACGAGCUCGACAGCUCUCCGAGAUGGAAACAAAGCACCUGCAGCGACGACUGCAAAUAAAUCUCGCUCACAGCCAAAAACGUAUAACACCUUUACCCCAGAUGCUGUUACGCUACAAUCUCGAGUGGAUGCAUUUAUGAGGGCCCCAACCAUGGCCACUUCCCAUGGCCGUCCACGUGAUGGUGGAAUGGAUUUCACACUUACAAAUCUAAAGGAAAAUUCGGUAAAUUCUGCCUUUGAAAAGGAGAAACAGGAAGACUCCCAGCAUCUCCAUUCACCAAACGAAAAUGCAUCACUCUCAGCUCAGCUGAACACAGAAGUGGCUGAUCCUACCCUUGAUGUUGAGAUGCUGGCGCCUGAUGGACAUCCACGCACACUGCUGUCUCUGCCUCCAUUUCCCGUGGCGCUGGAGCAGGCAUCGCGUGCUCGCUAUCUCCGACAUAGACACCCAACCUCCACUGAAAAGGCUCUUACACUAAGUCAAAUAUUUUCACACUAAUAAUAAUGUAAUUUUCGUACAUUUGGUAUUCGCGUCAGUCUUAAAGCACAAGGCUAUUAUAUAAUCUGCAGUAGUUUUACAGUAGGUAGCAAUGUUGCUUUGUGUAUUUUUUCUGUCCGGCCGCAUGGCCGAUCCUCUGUACGGCUCCCAUCGUCGUCGUCGCUUUGUUAGUCAGCCAGCUGUAUAGUUAGACUCCGACGAUGGGGCUGUAUGGAUGGGUCAGCUAUGCAUAGCCCGUAUAUAUAUGUCGCUCAGUGAUUGUGCCUGUAAGUGUGAGAAAUAAAUAACGAGCCCUCUACAUGUCGUGUCUCGGAAGUCGCUGACUACAUAUGUAACGGAUGGAUUUGAUACAUUGUUCAAACACAAAGACAGAGAGGUUUUCAUACAAACAAGUUCCUUAGUUAUAUAUUUAAAAAAAUCAGAGCACCAGUUAUCAAAAAAGCAACGACACUCGGUUCCAAGAAUACGUGACACUCCAUAAUAGAGGUUUUUGUUAGAUCGCCUAAAUA